rnacentral:rRNA from 1 species
GACGAACGCUGGCGGCGUGCUUAACACAUGCAAGUCGAACGGAAAGGCCCUGCUUUUGUGGGGUGCUCGAGUGGCGAACGGGUGAGUAACACGUGAGUAACCUGCCCUUGACUUUGGGAUAACUUCAGGAAACUGGGGCUAAUACCGGAUAGGAGCUCCUGCUGCAUGGUGGGGGUUGGAAAGUUUCGGCGGUUGGGGAUGGACUCGCGGCUUAUCAGCUUGUUGGUGGGGUAGUGGCUUACCAAGGCUUUGACGGGUAGCCGGCCUGAGAGGGUGACCGGCCACAUUGGGACUGAGAUACGGCCCAGACUCCUACGGGAGGAAGCAGUGGGGAAUAUUGCAAAAGGGGAGGAAGCCUGAUGCAGCAACGCAGCGUGCGGGAUGACGGCCUUCGGGUUGGAAACCGCUUUCGCCUGUGACGAAGAGUGAGUGACGGUAAUGGGUAAAGAAGCACCGGCUAACUACGUG